GGCUCAGCAGACUGCACUGUGUUUUCCCCGGCCAGCGCAGUCUUUUUCCCUCUCCCCUCCUGGCAGGUGAUUCGAGUUGACUGGUGGGCGGAGACACACACCUGCGGCUCGUUCAGCGGCGUGCGCCGGCGCUAUAAGAACUGCGCUCAGACAGCCGAGAGAUGCCAGAUUGUUAACCUAAAGUGGUCUGCCUCCGCCUUGGGUCCCGUCCCAAGUGGCUCUCCAAGCCCGGACGUCGUCAGUCAGGUCUCCCGACAAUUGAUCUUCUGGAACCCGCUCCUCCAUCUGGUUCUCUUGGCUGUCAACGGAUCACCUUCACGCCGCUGCUGCUCGGAUCCCUCUCCGCUCCGCCGGACCGCCCACCUGCCUCUCAGUCAUCUGCGGGAGGCUGCCUCUGUGCCCGUCUUUCCACGCCACUCCCCCCGGCUCAGUUCCUGCGCUACGCGGUAAGCCCUCCCACCUCUCCGUAAAGACGUUUAGGCGUGAGAGUUGUCCGACGUCUAACGUUCUGCCUCUUUUCCGCAGAUUUCACUCGCUUCCUCCAUACCGUCCCCUCAAACAAUCCACGUUGAUGCUCCUUGUCUUGCACGUUUAACAAUAAACUUCUAAACCUG